AAGUCGAGCGGACAGAUGGGAGCUUGCUCCCUGAUGUUAGCGGCGGACGGGUGAGUAACACGUGGGUAACCUGCCUGUAAGACUGGGAUAACUCCGGGAAACCGGGGCUAAUACCGGAUGCUUGUUUGAACCGCAUGGUUCAAACAUAAAAGGUGGCUUCGGCUACCACUUACAGAUGGACCCGCGGCGCAUUAGCUAGUUGGUGAGGUAAUGGCUCACCAAGGCAACGAUGCGUAGCCGACCUGAGAGGGUGAUCGGCCGGACUGAGACACGGAUGCGCCCCAGACUCCUACGGGAGGCAGCAGUAGGGAAUCUUCCGCAAUGGACGAAAGUCUGACGGAGCAACGCCGCGUGAAGGUUUUAUGCCUAGAGCGUACAGCUCUGUUGUUAGGGAAGAACAAGUACCGUUCGAAUAGGGCCCGGUACCUUGACGGUACCUAACCAGAAAGCCACGGCUAACUACGUGCCAGCAGCCGCGGUAAUACGUAGGUGGCAAGCGUUGUCCGGAAUUAUUGGGCGUAAAGGGCUCGCAGGCGGUUUCUUAAGUCUGAUGUGAAAGCCCCCGGCUCAACCGGGGAGGGUCAUUGGAAACUGGGGAACUUGAGUGCAGAAGAGGAGAGUGGAAUUCCACGUGUAGCGGUGAAAUGCGUAGAGAUGUGGAGGAACACCAGUGGCGAAGGCGACUCUCUGGUCUGUAACUGACGCUGAGGAGCGAAAGCGUGGGGAGCGAACAGGAUUAGAUACCCUGGUAGUCCACGCCGUAAACGAUGAGUGCUAAGUGUUAGGGGGUCCCUUAGUGCUGCAGCUAACGCAUUAAGCACUCCGCCUGGGGAGAAGUACUACGGUCGCAAGACUGAAACUCAAAGGAAUUGACGGGGGCCCGCACAAGCGGUGGAGCAUGUGGUUUAAUUCGAAGCAACGCGAAGAACCUUACCAGGUCUUGACAUCCUCUGACAAUCCUAGAGAUAGGACGUCCCCUUCGGGGGCAGAGUGACAGGUGGUGCAUGGUUGUCGUCAGCUCGUGUCGUGAGAUGUUGGGUUAAGUCCCGCAACGAGCGCAACCCUUGAUCUUAGUUGCCAGUUGGGCACUCUAAGGUGACUGCCGGUGACAAAGUACAACCCGGAGGAAGGUGGGGAUGACGUCAAAUCAUCAUGCCCCUUAUGACCUGGGCUACACACGUGCUACAAUGGACAGAACAAAGGGCAGCGAAACCGCGAGGUUAAGCCAAUCCCACAAAUCUGUUCUCAGUUCGGAUCGCAGUCUGCAACUCGACUGCGUGAAUCGCUAGUAAUCGCGGAUCAGCAUGCCGCGGUGAAUACGUUGGCCUUACCCGGGCCUUGUACACACCGCCCGUCACACCACGAGAGUUUGUAAAGUCGGUGAGGUAACCUUCCUUAAGUUAGGAGCCAG
rnacentral:rRNA from 1 species